rnacentral:piRNA from 1 species
UUCGGAGCUAACAAAAACAAACCAGAAGA